GGCAGCUCAAGUGGUAGCCGCGAUUAUUUGGCAUAAAACGUUAGUAGCCGGAUAAGUAAGUCUUUGGUUUAAUCCUGCGACUCAACCGUGGGAAUUCUAGAGAUACUGCUUGUCUUGAGACCGGGAGAGGUUGGAGGUACUCCUAGGGUAGGGGUGAAAUCCUAAAUCCUAGGGGGACCACCUGUGGCGAAGGCGUCCAACUGGAACGGGUCUGACGGUGAGGGACGAAACCUAGGGGAGCGAGCCGGAUUAGAUACCCGGGUAGUCCUAGGCGUAAAUGAUGCGAGUUAAGUGUGGGCCAUGUACGAGAUGGCCCUGUGCUGUAGGGUAGCCGUUAAACUAGCCGCCUGGGAAGUACGGCCGCAAGGCUGAAACUUAAAGGAAUUGGCGGGGGAGCACCACAAGAGGUGGAGGCUGCGGUUCAAUUGGAUUCAACGCCGGAAAACUCAUCGGGAGCGACAGC
rnacentral:rRNA from 1 species